AUUGAACGCUGGCGGAAUGCUUUACACAUGCAAGUCGAACGGCAGCAUAGGUGCUUGCACCUGAUGGCGAGUGGCGAACGGGUGAGUAAUAUAUCGGAACGUGCCCAGUCGUGGGGGAUAACGCAGCGAAAGCUGUGCUAAUACCGCAUACGAUCUACGGAUGAAAGCGGGGGAUCGUAGGACCUCGCGCGAUUGGAGCGGCCGAUAUCAGAUUAGCUAGUUGGUGAGGUAAAGGCUCACCAAGGCGACGAUCUGUAGCUGGUCUGAGAGGACGACCAGCCACACUGGAACUGAGACACGGUCCAGACUCCUACGGGAGGCAGCAGUGGGGAAUUUUGGACAAUGGGCGCAAGCCUGAUCCAGCAAUGCCGCGUGCAGGAUGAAGGCCUUCGGGUUGUAAACUGCUUUUGUACGGAGCGAAACGGUCUUUCCUAAUACGAGAGGCUAAUGACGGUACCGUAAGAAUAAGCACCGGCUAACUACGUG
rnacentral:rRNA from 1 species